rfam:Dictyocaulus viviparus strain HannoverDv2000 D_viviparus-1.0_Cont216.14, whole genome shotgun sequence.
GCCUCGGUGGUGUAAUGGUAAGCACGGCAGACCGGAUAUCUGUAAGUGCGGGUACGAGUCCCGCCUGAGGUU